rnacentral:rRNA from 1 species
UGCAACUCGACUGNACGAAGCUGGAAUCGCUAGUAAUCGCGGAUCAGCACGCCGCGGUGAAUACGUUCCCGGGCCUUGUACACACCGCCCGUCACACCAUGGAAGUCUGCAAUGCCCGAAGCCGGUGGCCUAACCACUUAUGUGGAAGGAGCCGUCUAAGGCAGGGCAGAUGACUGGGGUGAAGUCGUAACAAGGUACC